rnacentral:lncRNA from 1 species
UACAACAAUGCUUGCCUACUACCCUAACACUACAGGGCAACUCACUCACUCUACAAUGCCUCCUUUAACACGCUCCUGCUUAACCGACAACCACCCCCACGUCUUCAUCAGCAUGCCGGUUGUUACCCCUGAACCUCAGCCCAAUGUCGUCGUCGUCCUCAUGAUCUAGAGGGAUCAGCGCAAGGUCGUCGUCUCCUGAUCCUGGAGUCUCAUCAGUAGGCUCGUUCGACCGACGGGAGUCCUCGCCAAAGUUGUGCAGCCUCCGGCCAAUGAGAUAGCGAUCGUCUCUGAUUGAAUUG